rnacentral:misc_RNA from 1 species
GUAGGUGAACCUGCGGAAGGAUCAUUAACACGUAUCCAACGUAAAAUAAACACCCCCCUGUGAACUUUUUAAACCCGACGUCGCAUGACCCGUACAGGGAGCAACCUGGUAACUCAUGUCCUCCCCCUCCCCAAGGACAACAUUGAUUCAGGACUUCUCUCGGUAGCACUAGAGCCACAGGUUCUGCCCCUCCGGGGAGCGGUUCUGUCACCUCGAUCGGAAGGCAAGUUACGUGGGGCCCUCGCAAAAU